AGAAAGAAAAAGAAAAGAAGAAGAAAAAAAGGAGACAAAAC
rnacentral:sRNA from 1 species